rnacentral:precursor_RNA from 9 species
CACCCAUCGUCCAUAGCGAGUCGUACGCUGAUGGGCAAAGUUUCUGAACCGUGUUGUGUUCAAGGCUAAACGGUUUGGCACUUGCCCAGCACUGUAUGACCGAUUGCCUCGGUUUUGAA